CGGCACGGGUGAGUAACACGUAUCCAACCUGCCGUCUACUCUUGGCCAGCCUUCUGAAAGGAAGAUUAAUCCAGGAUGGGAUCAUGAGUUCACAUGUCCGCAUGAUUAAAGGUAUUUUCCGGUAGACGAUGGGGAUGCGUUCCAUUAGAUAGUAGGCGGGGUAACGGCCCACCUAGUCAACGAUGGAUAGGGGUUCUGAGAGGAAGGUCCCCCACAUUGGAACUGAGACACGGUCCAA
rnacentral:rRNA from 1 species